UGUGGUUUUUAUUUUACUAUAUCAAUAUUUUCAUCAUAUAAUUAUUUUUGUAUUUUAUAUAAUAAUUAGAACGUUCUUGAAUCCUGAUUGGUGUUAUAAAUAGUAUAUUUAGGCACCUUAAUAUCUGAAACUAUUUUGUUAACCCUGUUUUUGGAUAGUUUAGCUUUAUAAUCUUUUAAAAAAUGUCUGACUCUAAGCCUAAGUUUAAGGCAGAGCUAGUGAAGUUUCUGGCCGAACAGGUGGCCAAAGAUAAACCUAAGAAGUGUCCCAUAAGGCGAUCUGCAAUUAUGAGUUUGCAGAUGACGCCAUCUCAUCGGGCCACAUCUGAUAAAUCUCCAGCCGCACUAGUGGGUACCCAAUUCACUGUCUGGGCUGAGGUUGACGGGGUGUGUGCCCUAUGAGUGCCUUAUGGACACUAGGUCGAUCCCAAGUGACAUGCAUAUCUGCUUAUUGUUAUCACAAAAAGUUAGCGCACCGUCACUUGGAAUCCAUGACGACCUGUUCGUGUUUGGUGCAGGUGGAAUCAGAAGUUCCAUACAUUGGGUACAUCGAGGCCCAUCUGCACUUUCACACUGACAAUUAGGUUUGCGUUCAGUCAGAGACGACAACGCUGGCACUAGUUAUUUUUAUUUUACAAGUUUUUUCAUAAGUACUAUAGCACCAAAACCAAUGAAAUCCUUAACUGCCACCACCUUUCGGGUGAAGCUCAUUCUACCCAAGAAUGAAGCAUAGUGGAAGGAGGGAUCAUUCAGCUGGAUGCGGUGUUUGACUGAAGAGGUGCACCCAAUGUUGAGGUCAUCUACAGAGAAUUACAUCUUGCCAUCUAGGUAGGAAAGUAUGAGAUUGGUUAAUCUCUCUCUGUCCUCUAAAAGUCUGCUGAAAUGUAUUAUUGUAUUAACUUGUAAUUAAAGAUGUCGGGACGCCAUGAUUCUAGGAGGGGAGAGUGUCAGACCCUGUUUAUUAUCAAGGUAUAUUCUAUUUUUUGAGUAAACCUAUUUUCUAUUUUUGAGUAAGCUUAUAUUACUUUAAAUUGUUGAACCCCUAUUUAAAGUGUACCUUUAAACUAUGUUUCUAUUAAGAUCACCUCUCUGGUAUAUGCUACUGGUGAAACAAAGAGAUGGGAACAAAAAGACCCCUAUUCUAUAGGCCUUGUUUAUGUCUUAAACCCAGACCACUUCCUUUAUUCGUAGAGUACAUAAAUCAUGAAUGACCAGUGGAUACAUUUACUGGUACCCCUUUGUCUUGAGGAUAGGGAAUAGUGGGGUUGUUUGCCUGGUUUGGAAGAAAGAUUGGCUUUCUCGUUGAGAGCAAGUUUAGACUUCAAGGCAGAUAGACGUGUGAUGUAACUUCCCCCAGAAGUUACUAUGUCGCAGCUUUUUAAGACCUGCCUUGAUUUUGUUUCUUAACAGAGUUCCACCAUGGUUCCACCAUGGUUCCACUUCCAUUUCCCUCGGGACAAGAGUUGGGACUGCUGUCGUUGUUCAGGCAACGCUCUCCGCCUGAUCGAUGUAUUUAGUGCUUACUGACGAACGACUUGUGUUUUAUCAUUUGUACUUCAUAUGAACAUCUAUUCUUUUCUUCUAUUCCCUAAUAUGUUUCUACUGUACAGUGUAGUUUACUUUGCUCUUUUGCUAUCAUUCUUGUAAUAAACAUUGUAAAGCUUUGCAUGUAGCUGUUUUUGUAAUAUUGUUGUUUGAAAUCGGAAAUGCCAGUUGUCACACUCGGAAUUUAUUAUCGGUGUACCUUUGACACUGAAUAUUAAUAAAUACCUCUUUGGAAUUAUCAUUGGCACAAAA
rnacentral:lncRNA from 1 species